AGAGUUUGAUCAUGGCUCAGGACGAACGCUGGCGGCGCGCUUAAUACAUGCAAGUCGAGCGAGAACCAGGGCUUCGGCCCUGGGGACAGCGGCGAACGGGUGAGUAACACGUGGGUAACCUGCCUGUAAGACUGGGAUAACUUCGGGAAACCGGAGCUAAUACCGGAUAGUUUCUUUUCUCGCAUGAGAAGAGAUGGAAAGAUGGUGUAAGCUAUCACUUACAGAUGGACCCGCGGCGCAUUAGCUAGUUGGUGAGGUAAUGGCUCACCAAGGCGACGAUGCGUAGCCGACCUGAGAGGGUGAUCGGCCACACUGGGACUGAGACACGGCCCAGACUCCUACGGGAGGCAGCAGUAGGGAAUCUUCCGCAAUGGACGAAAGUCUGACGGAGCAACGCCGCGUGAGCGAAGAAGGCCUUCGGGUCGUAAAGCUCUGUUGUUAGGGAAGAACAAGUACGAGAGUAACUGCUCGUACCUUGACGGUACCUAACCAGAAAGCCACGGCUAACUACGUGCCAGCAGCCGCGGUAAUACGUAGGUGGCAAGCGUUGUCCGGAAUUAUUGGGCGUAAAGCGCGCGCAGGUGGUUUCUUAAGUCUGAUGUGAAAGCCCACGGCUCAACCGUGGAGGGUCAUUGGAAACUGGGGAACUUGAGUGCAGAAGAGGAAAGUGGAAUUCCAAGUGUAGCGGUGAAAUGCGUAGAGAUUUGGAGGAACACCAGUGGCGAAGGCGACUUUCCGGUCUGUAACUGACACUGAGGCGCGAAAGCGUGGGGAGCAAACAGGAUUAGAUACCCUAGUAGUCC
rnacentral:rRNA from 1 species